rnacentral:rRNA from 1 species
UACGAGGGGUGCAAGCGUUGCUCGGAAUUAUUGGGCGUAAAGGGUAGGUAGGUGGUCUCAUUUGUCUGGGGUGAAAGCCUCGAGCUUAACUCGAGAAGUGCCUCGGAAACGGUGAGACUAGAGUCUUAGAGAGGGUCGUGGAAUUCCCGGUGUAGCGGUGAAAUGCGCAGAUAUCGGGAGGAACACCGGUGGCGAAGGCGGUUCUCUGGGCCUGUACUGACGCUGAGGAGCGAAAGCGUGGGGAGCGAACAGG